CUCUAAAUGAAGACAUUAAGACAUAAAAUACCCUACACCCCCCACUCGCACAACCCCCCGACCUUCCCCAAUCCCCACAGACUUGUUCAAUUCACUAGAGUGUCUGCAUAGUUCCCUCAUUCAACUGGAUACAAUGAUUCGCGAGAUGAAUAAAGUUAUCUCUGGGGUGAAUGGGAUGUUGCUGAAGGGAGGAGACAGGGAGGACACAGCGGGGGCCUCAAAGAAGCCCCAUUAGAGGGGCAGAUCUGAGGGGUCAGGACCCAGCUGCCUGGCCGGGUGAGAGGAAUACCAGCAGGCUGGACAGGCCAAAGGAAACAACAAAACAAAUGCCCUUCCAAUAAAGACAUCCCAUGCCGGACUUAGCCCGGUCCAGCUGCAAAAGUUGCUGAUCACUCACAUUUCACACACUGAAACUUUGCUCUUUAGGCAGAGUGCUAUACAUUUUAGUCUCAGUUGAAAAUCACAGUCAGCUACUUUUUCCCUCCACUUUUUGAAGGGGGAGGUACUGCAGCCAGACUAGUCCUUGUUAAUUUGAUGAAAACAGCGGGGCUACAAAGUAAAAGCCAGGCAGCCUCCCCCCAGGGAAGGAAGUCAGCAAGCUCCUUUGCAACACACUCUCUGGUUCACAGGGUUCCAGUUUGAUCAGCCUUCCAUAGGGGGCUUUGCAGCCUGACUGGAGCAUGUGUCACAAUGGAAAGCAGCAACAUCUGGUAACAGACAAUGAGAUAUCAGAGAGUGCAUGGAUACUGGACCACAUCAACCUCUGGAUAUUGCAAUGUGUCAAUGACUGUUAUACAACACACUAACCUUAAGCUAAGUAUGCUCACAUUUAAAAGCGACUCAUAAAAACACCAAAGACUAUUAAAACAACUCAACUUGCAGAAGCUUUUCUUUUGCAUGCUAAAAUGCCUUUGCAUGCCAUUCUGCAAGCGCAGUUCACCUUUCAAAUAUUUGUAUAAUUUCAAGCUGCUUGCUAUGUCAAGCUUUUCCCUUUCAUUUGACUAGCUGUGUCAGAGGUUAUCCACAGUGCCCUUGGCUGUGUUUUCAGAACGAAACACUCUUGCCAACACAUUACUCCCACUGGCGAUAGUGAAAAGCAAAUAGCUGCUGCCAGUGGUCAAACAUGACCCAGGCUCUUUUUUCAUGGACAUUGAUAUGCAGCAACUGAACUUAAGUGGCAAAUUUUGUACUCUCUUGUGUUUUUAUCUCACUGAUAGUGAGCCUGUUAAUGAUCAACGAAACAUAGGCAUCUGGGAUUGAACCGAAAAUGAAAAGCAAGUUGAUCCCUAUGCACACUUUAUAGCAUUUCUGCUUUCUAGUUUGUAUCGUAUCAGUCAGACAGUUUGUAAGGAAUAAUAAGCAAAAUAAUAAAAGGUGACUGUUUUGAUG
ensembl:lncRNA